rnacentral:rRNA from 1 species
UCAUAUGCUUGUCUCAAAGAUUAAGCCAUGCAUGUCUAAGUACGUGCCUAAGAAAGGUGAAACCGCGAAUGGCUCAUUAAAUCAGUUAUGGUUCCUUAGAUCGUACCUUACUACUUGGAUAACUGUGGUAAUUCUAGAGCUAAUACAUGCAGCAGAGCUCCGACCUUCGGGGACGAGCGCUUUUAUUAGACCAAGACCAAUCGGACUUCGGUCCGAAGCUCAUGGUGACUCUGGAUAACUUUGGGCUGAUCGCACGGUCUCGUACCGGCGACGCAUCUUUCAAGUGUCUGCCUUAUCAACUUUCGAUGGUAGGUUAUGCGCCUACCAUGGUCGUAACGGGUAACGGGGAAUCAGGGUUCGAUUCCGGAGAGGGAGCCUGAGAAACGGCUACCACAUCCAAGGAAGGCAGCAGGCGCGCAAAUUACCCACUCCCAGCACGGGGAGGUAGUGACGAAAAAUAACAAUACGGGACUCUAUUGAGGCCCCGUAAUUGGAAUGAGUACACUCUAAAUCCUUUAACGAGGAUCUAUUGGAGGGCAAGUCUGGUGCCAGCAGCCGCGGUAAUUCCAGCUCCAAUAGCGUAUAUUAAAGUUGUUGCGGUUAAAAAGCUCGUAGUUGGAUCUCAGUUCCAGACGGGUGGUCCACCCCUGGUGGUUACUGCCUGGCCUGAACAAAUCCAGCCGGUUUUCCUUGAUGCUCUUCACCGAGUGUCUUGGGUGACCGGCACGUUUACUUUGAAAAAAUUAGAGUGCUCAAAGCAGGCGUGACGCCUGAAUAAUGGUGCAUGGAAUAAUGGAAUAGGACCUCGGUUCUAUUUUGUUGGUUUUCGGAACACGAGGUAAUGAUUAAGAGGGACAGACGGGGGCAUUCGUAUUGCGACGCUAGAGGUGAAAUUCUUGGACCGUCGCAAGACGAACUACU